rnacentral:rRNA from 1 species
UACGGAGGAUGCGAGCGUUAUCCGGAUUUAUUGGGUUUAAAGGGUGCGCAGGCGGCACGGCAAGCCGGCGGUCAAAUCGCGGGGCUCAACCCCGCCCAGCCGUCGGAACUGCCGGGCUAGAGUGGGCGAGAAGUGCGCGGAAUGCGUGGUGUAGCGGUGAAAUGCAUAGAUAUCACGCAGAACUCCGAUUGCGAAGGCAGCGCACCGGCGCCCAACUGACGCUGAAGCACGAAGGCGUGGGUAUCGAACAGG